GAUGAAGAACGUAGCGAAAUGCGAUAAGUAAUGUGAAUUGCAGAAUUCAGUGAAUCAUCGAAUCUUUGAACGCACAUUGCGCCCCUUGGUAUUCCGAGGGGCAUGCCUGUUCGAGCGUCAUUAUAACCCCUCAAGCUCAGCUUGGUGUUGGGGCCUGCUGCACUGGCAGCCCUUAAAAUCAGUGGCGGCGCCAUCUGGCUCUACGCGUAGUAAUUCUUCUCGCUAUGGAGUCCUGGUGGAUGCUUGCCAUCAACCCCCAAUUUUUCUAUGGUUGACCUCGGAUCAGGUAGGGAUACCCGCUGAACUUAAGCAUAUCAAUAAGCGGAGGA
rnacentral:misc_RNA from 1 species